rnacentral:tRNA from 2 species
GGGGCUAUGGCGCAGCUGGUAGCGCACCUGCAUGGCAUGCAGGGGGUCAGGGGUUCAAGUCCCCUUAGCUCCACAA